UCCCUGGUGGCGCAGUGGUUGAGAGUCCGCCUGCCGAUGCAGGGGACAUGGGUUCGUGCCCCGGUCCAGGAAGAUCCCACAUGCCGCAGAGCGGCUGGGCCCGUGAGCCAUGGCUGCUGAGCCUGCGCUCCGCAACGGGAGAGGCCA